AACGAACGCUGGCGGCAGGCUUAACACAUGCAAGUCGAGCGCAUCCUUCGGGGUGAGCGGCAGACGGGUGAGUAACGCGUGGGAACGUACCCUUUCCUACGGAAUAGCUCCGGGAAACUGGAAUUAAUACCGUAUACGCCCUUAGGGGGAAAGAUUUAUCGGGGAAGGAUCGGCCCGCGUUGGAUUAGCUAGUUGGUGGGGUAAAGGCCUACCAAGGCGACGAUCCAUAGCUGGUCUGAGAGGAUGAUCAGCCACAUUGGGACUGAGACACGGCCCAAACUCCUACGGGAGGCAGCGGUGGGGAAUAUUGGACAAUGGGCGCAAGCCUGAUCCAGCCAUGCCGCGUGGGUGAUGAAGGCCUUAGGGUUGUAAAGCUCUUUCAGUAGGGAAGAUAAUGACGGUACCUACAGAAGAAGCCCCGGCUAACUUCGUGCCAGCAGCCGCGGUAA
rnacentral:rRNA from 1 species